UAAGUAUGAUUUUAUUGUGAUAAUGCAUGGGCGGGGACAAUCAUUAGUAUCAGUUGAAAAGUUUUUCGUUUAAACAGAAUGAAAAGUGAUGCUCGGGUACAUCGAAAGCGCAGAGAUUGACUCAGGCUUUCUGGAAUAUUUACUUAGGAUCGAGACCUCUUCAAACAUCUCUCCAUUAUGACUAACAAAAUCAUAAGCAGUUGUGAGUGAAAAUAGAUGUUAGACCCACCAGUUGAUUAUUAACCGGUGUCAGUGCACAUAGUAAAUGUUCAAAGGGUCUUCAGACAUUUAACGCUUUUAUUACAUGUUCGAUUUCGGCGUCUGCGACGCGAUCGCCAUCUUUCGACAGCUUGACUCAUUGUUUAGUUGAACAUUAAAAUUUGUCGUGAAUUGAUAUCAUUAUCGUGAUGUAUCGAAUCAGAGUAGAUUUUUCGUGGUAACGUGGACAGUGGUAUGAAUAUGGAAAUUCGUAUAUAGUUUUGUACGUGUUGUGUGAGUGUAAAAGUUAUGAGGAUACCAGUGUGAUCGCGAUGUCCUGUGAACUUCAUGUCAAAUACGUCAUUGCAGCGAAAUUGAAUUCCACAUCGAUUCUCAGUCACUCCGGAAUAUCUGAGAAAUCUGAAUGUUAAUUUCCUCCGGACAAUGGGACAUUCGUCAAUGUAACGCUAGUGAGAGGUCUCCAGUUGUGACGUCAUGAGAAUAUUGAAAUUUUGGAGAGACAGACGGUUGUGGCUUUAUUGCACGUGGGCAUCAGCUGCGUAUAGCAUUGAUAUUUCAUACUUGACGUUGAAAAUGAUGGAAUACCGAUAACUGAAAGUCCUGGAGGAAAAUCGUAACAAGAUAUGCAAAGAGACCCUUAUUUUAUAUAUCAGAGGAGUGUCUCGAGAUUUAUAUCAUUGGUAGAAAAUCGACAAUGGCACAUCGAUCGACAAAAUAGUGGAGAAUUAGAAAGCUGUGUCUACCGUUAACUUAUAUUUAUUCAAUAUAUAUACACCUGAUAGACUUGAACAUGGUACAGUACAGAAGGGGCCACACAUAGGAAGAUAAUUUUGGGCUGAGGAUAUACAGGAUAUACCAGAAACUAGUCAAUUAUGAUAGCGAAUAACACAACUAUUUUAUAAAAUGUAUAGACAUACAUCGAGUUGAUUAACGACUUUGUAUCAACGAUUUUUAUCAUCAAUCAUAUACAUGACCGUAAAGUGAGGCAUUGAAAUAUCGUGCCAACAAGCCAGCCCUUAUUCUGCGAACAUCAAAGAGAAGCAAAACCGAAAAACCACGGGAGGUUCAUUUUAUCAAGAGAAUCGAUAAAAAAAACUGGCAAGAAGAAACUGGGUAAUGAGCGAGGUCCUUUGAAAAUUCUUGAACUUCAACGAUUCCAACAUCUUCAGAGGAAUAGGGUUUUUCGAAAACAUUCUUCACAGUUACAGAAAAAAAUCCUUCAACAUAACAACCGCUGGAAUCGGUGCAAGGAAAUUUCAUGCCAGUAUUUAUCAAUAUUCGCCGAAUAGAAAAUAUUUUCCCGGUUUUCAGCUGACCUACGUUAUUUGGCUCUUUUGUUUCCAGUAACAUUCCUCGAAGCUGGAGUGACUGAACAAGCAUCACAUCAUUUCCGUUCAAGUGUUGUAGUUCAAAAUUUGGAAUGACACGGCAGUUGCAAAUUUCCCACUUUUUUGUAAUUUUGCGGAAUCUGAUGAUUCUAGGGCUUGUAAUUUAUUGACCAGCUGAGCUAAAGGUCUGGCCCUGCCUUUCACCAACUCUUGCAAUUUCCCAAGAAAAUUUUCGCCAAAAAAGGCUGAAUAGUCUGUUAGUGGAGCUUGGAAAUGUCUAACAUCAUCUGCAACAUGAGUCACGAGAUGCCAAUUCAUAGUUUGGCAGUCAGGUCCAUAAUAUGUGGGCAUUGAUAGAAAAAAGUCUUUCAGUAGCUCAUCUGCAUGAUCUACAUGAGAAACUGCUAAUUCUUUACUACAAAGAAUCCUACAUGCAACGUGAAAGUGCAAAAAAUGUCGAUAUAGAUGUUUCGACAAAACUUUUUUUAGAACGAUACUACCCAGGUAUAGUAAGAUGAAGCUAUAUUGAGUAGCCUUCCAUCGUCCUAUCAUCUCGAUGUCAAACACUUUUCUCUGAAACUCUGCUGGCACACAGGAUGAAAUUGAUGUCAGGCGUUUUCCAAAUGUAAUUUUUUCAGUGGCUUUUAAUCGACAGGAAUUAACUUCCACAAUCCAUUUGUUCAGUAAAAAUUUCAUAUCGUUCAAAUACAAUAAGUGCAUGACAUCCAAUGGUAAACUUCUAAUAGGAUCCAGAUGACGUAUGGUGAUCAGUGGACUGCAACUCUCACCUUUAUGGUGUUCUGGUUGUGUUUUUUCGAUGAAAGACUGUUUUGUACGUUUCGGACAAUCAAUUUCUGGAUAAACUCUCCUUUUAUUCACAUGAAUUCUCUUUACCGUACAUCUUUCGCAGCUGAAGUAGCCAGUUGGACCUUUUAUGCAUUUUAUAAACGCUCUGGCUUGACCAUUACAAAUUAUAGCUGGAAUUUCAACUUUGUAUGAAGCUUCUCCAAUCGUCACACCAUUUUCUAUCAAUUCAUUUGCUUCUGUUACAAAAUCCUUCAUAAAAUCAUCCACACUAUCAGGCUUCGAAUUUCCAUAAUAUAUAGCAACAGCAAAUGGGGUAGCAGAAUAAUUAGGAUGGUGGAUUUUAGCCAGAAUUGGCCACCAUUAACCUCGAGAAGUUGUAAAUAAACUGGCACCAUCAAUAUGGAUGUACAAUUUUAUUAUUUUUUCAUGAUAUAUAUUCACUGUAACACGAUUUAGUAAGCUAUUGGUUAUUCCCAAGUAAAUGUACUGACCAAUGUCUUUUGAUUUUGCAACCAUUGGUCGUGAUUUGAUAGAAUGUUGAAAUCCAAGUAACUGAUGAGCAGUUGUUGGAAGAUCUUCAUAAUUUUCAGUUCUCAACAGCUUCAACAGCUCAGUCACUGCACGUAGAGAAAUGCUGGAAAUAUUAUCCAGGGCCCAUUGGCGAAGCUUUUCUGUCAUUGUAACAUUUGGAGGCUCAGUUUUUUCCUCAUUCUUUUCUAUCGCAGACACAUCCUGAGAAUUAUGGGAGUUCUCACACUGAGUUGAGAAUGUUGUUUCAUCAUCAGGUUCAUAGUUCUCGAAAGUAUUAUCGUCAAGACCAAUGACAGAGCUGCUCGAAUCAUUAUCGCCAAUGCCCACGUCGGAAUCAGUGUCUUUUAAAUUAAUAGAACAUAUUUCACUUUCUUUUUCAAUUCGUUGAUGCUGCACCAGAUCUAGCUUCUGCUUCAUUUCAUUGUCGAAAAUUUUAACACAAUUAUUUGUUUGAUCUGCACUCUGGAAGACAAUUGUAUUUCCUUCUAGUCGUUUUCUGAUACGAUAUUUCUUCAAUCGGUAAACGCUUCCUGAUUUCUUAACCUUGGUCAUUUUGAUACUGAUUAUCGACUUCACUCGUGCUUCACACUCGUGAUUUUUUAACCUGAAAAACUUGACUCCUUCAUUUGUUUGCAACGAAUCUAUCGGGAAAUAUUCGAUAAUUUUGAAGCACUUGUGGUAUUAUAUGUGAUUAUUUUUUUCAUCCCAAUUUCAACCAAUCAAAUGGUGGCAUUUCCCGUCACGUGGUACAAGUAAGAGAGUUUUACUUCGGAUAUUUUUCGGAUAUUUCCCUGUUUGUUGCUAAGCAAUGAAAGUAUCCGAUAAACAAUUUGUAGGCGUUUCAAACCCCAAAACUGUCAUUACAAAAAAUCAAGUUCAAAGACUUUACCUCGACAAGAGCAGAUUUGGAGGAAUCCUUGGACAUUAUUGAUCAAAAAAUUAAAAAAAAUGUGCCUAAUAAUACGGUGAAGACAAAGGCCACAAUUUGGAAACAAUUCUCUGCAUUUUGUGCAGACAGAAAAUAUACUCUAGAAGCCCCAACUACGAGUGAAAAACUAUACCAUAUGACGCGAAAUGCCACAUAUUUAAUUGCUUGAAAUUGGAAUGAAACAAAAAAUCCAGCCAAAUACCCCUCGACCUUCAAAAUUAAUCGAAUAUUUCCCUCCAGUUUCCCUGCGUAGCACCGAUCGGGAUAAGUUUCGCAGAAAAACCCUCGCGCUCGGGAUUUUUAACCUGCAAAAUUUAUCCCACUCGUUGCUACGCAACGAAACUCUCGGGGAAUAUCCGAUAAUUUUGAAGGUCUUGGGCUAUUCCUACUGAAUAACUCUUUCAUUAUCAAAAAUUUUCAUCGCGCGUACAUGAAGUUUGAUGAAUGGUUGGGCUUUCGCUAUUAAAAAGAAUUGUUAAAAAUUUUUAAUGGGAAAUGUUUGUUUUGAUGACAAGUUUCAAUGCAAAUUACACACUUUCCCAUCAAUGGAAGUUGAGAAUAAUUUUUUAUACAAUUAUCGUUCGAAAUAACUACCAGUUGCUGGCAAUUUUCUUCUCGUUAGUUCAUGGUACAACAAGGCUUCUAUUGAUUCCUCCGUUUGAUGUGGAUGGUCUGGAAACUCUGGACGAAUUUAAUUAAAAGUUUUCCAUAUUCAGUUACAAAGUGAUUGCAUUGAAUAUUCUGAUUGAUCCGAUAAUUGCGGUUGAAUUUCACUUCUGACUUUUGAAGAAAUGAAUAUUUUCCCAAAAUUAACCUUAUUGCACAUCAAUCGAUCUCAUCAUAAAAGACGAUGAAUCUUGGAUGGUCCAUUGUCUUUAAAGAUACAAACAAAGGACAUGUCGGUUGUCCUUUGAGAAAAAGAGUGCGCUUCCUACUUCCUCUUUUAAUCUAUACCAUCUCAAUCUCCUCGAAUUACUCCUCCAAUCUUUUCCAAUUUCCGCAAGGAAUUCCUCUCCAAGUAAUAUAAAGAGAAAUCCAAUCUCUUAAUUUCCAAUCUCUUUUCCUCUCAAGCAAUAAAUAAUUCAUCAUGUCAUCAUAUACCCAUUAGGAAUAUUGGAAAGACUAAGGCUCCACAAUUUUUCGAGGGGAAUUUCAUAGGGUAGCCGACAAUUUUGAAUUUAUUCACCUAACGAAGGAUAGGCCGCGCAGGAUGAGUGUUGAUGGAUGACAAAUUAGUCGGAAAUGGAGAAGACUCCCGGUAGCUCAAUUAGAACAGUAACAGACUCCUAAAUUUUUUUAAGGGCCAGAUAAAAAAUUAUUACACAUAAAAUACAAAAAAAUUAAGUAUCUCUCCCAUAAUGAACAAUACAAUGUUAUUCAAAAUGUCUAUAAAAAAUCCUUUCUGGGAACUGAUAACACUUAAUAAACUAGAUAGUUCUCAGGUGAAGGUUUAUCUAUCCAAUAAAUUUAUAUUCAUGAAAAUUCCAAAAAGAGUUCCAGAUGUUUUUAAAUAUUUGCAAACAUGAUCUAUUUUUUAAACUAAAAACUCGGUUCCAGAAGGAAGAAUAACAGUCUGAUUGGCUGAAACGUCCAUCGACGUCCAUCAGGACAUCUCCAAAUUAUUUCGAGACUUAAUUUCUUUGAAAUUCACAAUUAUUGUGCUGGGAAAAUGAAAUUAAAUGGAACUCAAUGGAAUGAAAUUAAAUGGAAUUAAAUAAUGACCUUCUCUUUCUAUCCACAAUGGCCUCAAUUCAUUU